rnacentral:rRNA from 1 species
GCAAGUCGAACGAUGAUGCCCAGCUUGCUGGGCGGAUUAGUGGCGAACGGGUGAGUAAUACGUGAGUAACCUGCCCUUGACUCUGGGAUAAGCCUGGGAAACUGGGUCUAAUACUGGAUACUACCUCUUACCGCAUGGUGGGUGGUGGAAAGGGUUUUACUGGUUUUGGAUGGGCUCACGGCCUAUCAGCUUGUUGGUGGGGUAAUGGCUCACCAAGGCGACGACGGGUAGCCGGCCUGAGAGGGUGACCGGCCACACUGGGACUGAGACACGGCCCAGACUCCUACGGGAGGCAGCAGUGGGGAAUAUUGCACAAUGGGCGGAAGCCUGAUGCAGCGACGCCGCGUGAGGGAUGACGGCCUUCGGGUUGUAAACCUCUUUCAGUAGGGAAGAAGCGAGAGUGACGGUACCUGCAGAAGAAGCGCCGGCUAACUACGUGCCAGCAGCCGCGGUAAUACGUAGGGCGCAAGCGUUGUCCGGAAUUAUUGGGCGUAAAGAGCUCGUAGGCGGUUUGUCGCGUCUGCUGUGAAAGCCCGGGGCUCAACCCCGGGUCUGCAGUGGGUACGGGCAGACUAGAGUGCAGUAGGGGAGACUGGAAUUCCUGGUGUAGCGGUGAAAUGCGCAGAUAUCAGGAGGAACACCGAUGGCGAAGGCAGGUCUCUGGGCUGUUACUGACGCUGAGGAGCGAAAGCAUGGGGAGCGAACAGGAUUAGAUACCCUGGUAGUCCAUGCCGUAAACGUUGGGCACUAGGUGUGGGGGACAUUCCACGUUUUCCGCGCCGUAGCUAACGCAUUAAGUGCCCCGCCUGGGGAGUACGGCCGCAAGGCUAAAACUCAAAGGAAUUGACGGGGGCCCGCACAAGCGGCGGAGCAUGCGGAUUAAUUCGAUGCAACGCGAAGAACCUUACCAAGGCUUGACAUUCACCGGACCGCCCCAGAGAUGGGGUUUCCCUUCGGGGCUGGUGGACAGGUGGUGCAUGGUUGUCGUCAGCUCGUGUCGUGAGAUGUUGGGUUAAGUCCCGCAACGAGCGCAACCCUCGUUCUAUGUUGCCAGCACGUGAUGGUGGGGACUCAUAGGA